rnacentral:rRNA from 1 species
GCAGAGAGACAGGUGGUGCAUGGUUGUCGUCAGCUCGUGUCGUGAGAUGUUGGGUUAAGUCCCGCAACGAGCGCAACCCCUAUCUUCAGUAGCCAGCAGUCCGGGUGGGCACUCUGGAGAGACUGCCAGGGAUAACCUGGAGGAAGGUGGGGAUGACGUCAAAUCAUCAUGCCCCUUAUGACCAGGGCUACACACGUGCUACAAUGGCGUAAACAAAGGGAAGCGAGACUGUGAGGUGGAGCAAAUCCCAAAAAUAACGUCUCAGUUCGGAUUGUAGUCUGCAACUCGACUACAUGAAGCUGGAAUCGCUAGUAAUCGCGAAUCAGCAUGUCGCGGUGAAUACGUUCCCGGGUCUG